rnacentral:lncRNA from 1 species
AAUAAUUUGCUCAAAGUACUGCCAUAGACAAGGAGCUGGUUCACGACAGCGAUAUUGAGGUACAAUGCGCCGCACACUAACUUCUUGAGUACGUUGUCUUUCCAACUUCGUAAAGAUCUUUGUCUCUUAAAUCGUCACCGUCCUUUCUUCGAUGACUGGACAUCAGUGAUUUUUGGGUGAUACGAUUACUGAGUUUUGAAGUGGUUUGAAACGAAGGCCGAGAUUGCAAAAUCGAGGGUUUUCGAUUUUUGUAGGAAAAAAGAAGACUUUGGAUUUUCCAAACGCAAGGAGGAGAUUACAGUUAUUCCUACUCCCGACUGCCACCUUGCUACUUCAAACAAAAAUUUCUCCUCAGCCUUCUUUUGAAAGGGAAAGAGAAGGAAGAAUUCAAUUUUCUGUAAAUGGCCUUUAACCCAUAGAAAGUUUUUGCUUUUUUGCAGUUAAAAAGGUGUGAAGAUAUUUUCUAAUGAAUAGUGGGAACCAAUUUGACUACAGUGGGGAAUGGGUUUGAGAAACUGAAGUGUGAACACUCUGCCACCAAAAUGGACAGUACUUGGCCGAUUCUCUAUUUUAAGGUAAAGGUCGAUAAUGUGGCUCAAAUAAGAGCUUAAAUUAGUUUAAUUCUAUUAAAGGUGCAUGUUGAAUUGCAAGGGUUAAUUUCACAAACGGUCACUGAACUUGCUCGAAAAUUAUAAAACGGUCACUGAAGUUUAAAAUUUUCAGUAACGAUUACUUAAGUUUCCAGGCACUUUUACAAAUGGUCAGUAAAAUUUAAAAACUUUCAGAAAUGAUUACUGAAAUUUAAAAAUUUGCAGAAACGGUCACUAAAAUUUAAAAACACUUUCAGUUUUUGGGCUACUUUUGCCACAACUUUUUGGCCAAUUUCGACACCCCACUGAACUUGCUCGAAAAUUAUAAAACGGUCACUGAAGUUUAAAAUUUUCAGUAACGAUUACUUAAGUUUCCAGGCACUUUUAGAAAUGGUCAGUAAAAUUUAAAAACUUUCAGAAAUGAUUACUGAAAUUUAAAAAUUUGCAGAAACGGUCACUAAAAUUUAAAAACACUUUCAGUUUUUGGGGCUACUUUUGCCACAACUUUUUGGCCAAUUUCGACACCUGAUACCAUCGAAUUUUGAUACUAUUGAAAAGCUCACAAUGUCAUCUUCAAUUAACAUCCAAAAUCUCCCCGUAACUCCAAGAUCUUUGACUAGAAAAUCGCUGCAAAAUUUGACAAAAAAAUAUGAAAAUGAAAAUCUGUCCAGAUUUUCAUAUUUUUUUGGCGACUUUUGCUGCAAUUUUUCAACGACUUCCGACCACUAAGACUAUCGAAUGUUGAUAUCGUUGGAAAGCCCACAAUAUUCUCUUCAAUUACCAUCCAAAAUCUCCCCCAAACUCCAAAGGAUUCGAAAACUGAAAUGGUCAACGAGAAAAACAUAGAUGAAAUUCAAGUAAAAAUAGGGGCAGUAAAAAUUAAUCCUCAAACCUUAAGUGAAGUAAUUCUUGAAACAGACCUUCAUUGUCAACAAUAAUCUGCUCAAAGUACUGCCAUAGACAAGGAGCUAGUUCACAACAGCGAUAUCGAGGUACAAUGCGCCGCACACUAACUUCUUGAGUACGUUGUCUUUCCAGCUUCGUAAAGAUCUUUGUCUCUUAAAUCAUCACCGUCCUUUCUUUGAUGACCGGACAUCCGUGAUUUUUGGGUGAUACGAUUACUGAGUUUUGAAGUGGUUUGAAACGGAGGCCGAGAUUGCUGAAUCGAGGGUUUUGGAUUUUUGUAGGAAAAAAGAAGACUUUGGAUUUUCCAAACGCAAGGAGGAGAUUACAGUUAUUCCUACUCCCGAC